rnacentral:snRNA from 1 species
AUGCUUGCUUCAGCAGUACAUACACUAAAAUUGGAACAAUACAGAGAAGAUUAGCAUGGCUCCUGCGCAAGGAUGACACACAAAUCCAUUAGAUUUUUAAAGCGCUU